rnacentral:rRNA from 1 species
UUGAACGCUGGCGGCAUGGCUAAAACAUGCAAGUCGAACGCGAAAGUGACUUCGGUCACGAGUAGAGUGGCGAACGGGCGAGUAAUACUUUGCUAACGUACCCUGAGGUCGGGGAUAGCGACUGGAAACGGUCGGUAAUACCCGAUGACCCCUGCAGACCGCAUGAUCCGCAGGGCAAAGGCUUGCCACCUCAGGAUCGGGCAAAGCGCUAUCAGCUUGUUGGUGGGGUAACGGCUCACCAAGGCGAAGACGGCUAGCGGGUGUGAGAGCAUGACCCGCCGCAUCGGGACUGAGACACUGCCCGGACUCCUACGGGAGGCUGCAGUAACGAAUAUUCCGCAAUGGGCGAAAGCCUGACGGAGCGACGCCGCGUGUGGGAGGAAGCCCUUCGGGGUGUAAACCACUGUCAGGGAUUACCAAGCAAAGUUGGCGAAUAGCCUUCUGCGUUGAGGCGUCCCAGAGGAAGCCACGGCUAACUUCGUGCCAGCAGCCGCGGUAAUACGAAGGUGGCGAGCGUUGUUCGGAAUCACUGGGCUUAAAGGGCACGCAGGCGGACUGUCAAGCGUCUUGUGAAAGCCCCCGGCUUAACCGGGGAAUUGCUGGGCGAACUGGCAGUCUUGAGGCAGGUAAGGGCGAGCGGAACUCUUGGUGGAGCGGUGGAAUGCGUAGAUAUCAAGAGGAACGCCGGAGGCGAAAGCGGCUCGCUGGGCCUGACCUGACGCUGAGGUGCGAAAGCCAGGGGAGCGAACGGGAUUAGAUACCCCGGUAGUCCUGGCCAUAAACGAUGUCCACUAGAUCGGUGAACUUCUGACAGUGCGCCGGUCGAAACAAAAGCGUUAAGUGGACCGCCUGGGGAGUACGGUCGCAAGGCUAAAACUCAAAGGAAUUGACGGGGGCUCACACAAGCGGUGGAGCAUGUUGCUUAAUUCGAUGCAACGCGAAGAACCUUAUCCUGGACUUGACAUGUUAGGAUGCCUCCCUGGAAACAGGGUUGGUUGCCCUUCGGGGUGAAACUUUCACAGGUGCUGCAUGGCUGUCGUCAGCUCGUGUCGUGAGAUGUUGGGUUAAGUCCCGUAACGAGCGAAACCCUUGUCGUUAGUUGCCAGCGCGUAAUGGCGGGGACUCUAGCGAGACUGCCGGUGUUAAACCGGAGGAAGGUGGGGAUGACGUCAAGUCCUCAUGGCCUUUAUGUCCAGGGCUGCAAACGUGCUACAAUGGCGUGUACAAACCGACGCAAGACCGCGAGGUGGAGCAAAUCGGAAAAAGCACGCCCCAGUUCGGAUUGGAGUCUGCAACUCGACUCCAUGAAGUCGGAAUCGCUAGUAAUCGCGUAUCAGCUCGACGCGGUGAAUGUGUUCCUGAGCCUUGUACACACCGCCCGUCAAGUCAUGGAAGCUGGGAGCGCCCGAAGUCG